AUAGGAGCCAAAGCAAGCAAGCUGGCUGAUAAAAUAAGUAAUUCUAUUGAAUUUGAGAGGCCUGCAUCAUCAAGGAUUCUUACUAUUCAUUCAACAGUCCAAAUUAAAAGACUGAGCAAGAUAUAUAUCUGUACAAUAUAUGGUGUAGGUCAGAUUUAUUAUUUACAAGAUCUAAAAACGCCGAAGGAGCUCAGGAACACCCAGCUACCAAAAAUCCAAAGUACCCACUGAAUAAGACUUUUACAGAUUGAAACGUGUUUAGGAAAGAUCUAGUACAAGAUUUGAAUGCAAGAAAUGGAUUAAGGUUAUUUUAUGGCCAUACAUGAUGGUUUUUAACAAUGCUUUAUGAUU